rnacentral:rRNA from 1 species
GAGUUUGAUCAUGGCUCAGGACGAACGCUGGCGGCGUGCUUAACACAUGCAAGUCGAACGGAAAGGCCCUGCUUUUGUGGGGUGCUCGAGUGGCGAACGGGUGAGUAACACGUGAGUAACCUGCCCUUGACUUUGGGAUAACUUCAGGAAACUGGGGCUAAUACCGGAUAGGAGCUCCUGCUGCAUGGUGGGGGUUGGAAAGUUUCGGCGGUUGGGGAUGGACUCGCGGCUUAUCAGCUUGUUGGUGGGGUAGUGGCUUACCAAGGCUUUGACGGGUAGCCGGGCUGAGAGGGUGACCGGCCACAUUGGGACUGAGAUACGGCCCAGACUCCUACGGGAGGCAGCAGUGGGGAAUAUUGCACAAUGGGCGGAAGCCUGAUGCAGCAACGCCGCGUGCGGGAUGACGGCCUUCGGGUUGUAAACCGCUUUCGCCUGUGACGAAGCGUGAGUGACGGUAAUGGGUAAAGAAGCACCGGCUAACUACGUGCCAGCAGCCGCGGUGAUACGUAGGGUGCGAGCGUUGUCCGGAUUUAUUGGGCGUAAAGGGCUCGUAGGUGGUUGAUCGCGUCGGAAGUGUAAUCUUGGGGCUUAACCCUGAGCGUGCUUUCGAUACGGGUUGACUUGAGGAAGGUAGGGGAGAAUGGAAUUCCUGGUGGAGCGGUGGAAUGCGCAGAUAUCAGGAGGAACACCAGUGGCGAAGGCGGUUCUCUGGGCCUUUCCUGACGCUGAGGAGCGAAAGCGUGGGGAGCGAACAGGCUUAGAUACCCUGGUAGUCCACGCUGUAAACGGUGGGUACUAGGUGUGGGGUCCAUUCCACGGGUUCCGUGCCGUAGCUAACGCUUUAAGUACCCCGCCUGGGGAGUACGGCCGCAAGGCUAAAACUCAAAGGAAUUGACGGGGCCCCGCACAAGCGGCGGAGCAUGCGGAUUAAUUCGAUGCAACGCGUAGAACCUUACCUGGGUUUGACAUGGAUCGGGAGUGCUCAGAGAUGGGUGUGCCUCUUUUGGGGUCGGUUCACAGGUGGUGCAUGGCUGUCGUCAGCUCGUGUCGUGAGAUGUUGGGUUAAGUCCCGCAACGAGCGCAACCCUUGUUCACUGUUGCCAGCACGUUAUGGUGGGGACUCAGUGGAGACCGCCGGGGUCAACUCGGAGAAAGGUGGGGAUGACGUCAAGUCAUCAUGCCCCUUAUGUCCAGGGCUUCACGCAUGCUACAAUGGCUGGUACAGAGAGUGGCGAGCCUGUGAGGGUGAGCGAAUCUCGGAAAGCCGGUCUCAGUUCGGAUUGGGGUCUGCAACUCGACCUCAUGAAGUCGGAGUCGCUAGUAAUCGCAGAUCAGCAACGCUGCGGUGAAUACGUUCCCGGGGCUUGUACACACCGCCCGUCAAGUCAUGAAAGUUGGUAACACCCGAAGCCGGUGGCCUAACCGUUGUGGGGGAGCCGUCGAAGGUGGGACUGGUGAUUAGGACUAAGUCGUAACAAGGUA